AAGUCAUAACAAGGUUUCCGUAGGUGAACCUGCGGAAGGAUCAUUAAUAGUGCCCUUGAUCGCAAUGUCAAUUGGGUUCAGUAGUUCUGCUCUCCUCGCAAGAGGAGGGUUUCCAUACACACCGUGAACUGUGGCUUCGGCCAUCACAAACUGUUAGUAAUGAAUGUAAAAUCAUAACAAAAACAAAA
rnacentral:misc_RNA from 1 species